CAGCAGUACCUGACUCAUAAAGAGAGGCAGGACCAGCACCUUACUCCAUCCAGCCUUGCAGAAUCUGCAUCCAGAUAUCCAGAAAUGGAGGAUGAUGAAGAUUUGGAGAGAAUGAUGCUUUCCAUAUCCCCCUCCAAACUUCAAGGCCAGCUUAGUAAGAAAACAACCCUGACAUGCAAAGUUGUGGAAGAUGAAGAAAUGGAGAGGAGGAUGAUGAUGCCCACAGAUCCAGGCCAUCUGAGUGAGAGCAGCAAACAUACACACUCACACAUACAGACACACACUUCUCCCCUCUGUGAGGACACAUUCAAUUCAUCAAUACAUCAUUAAAUUUCCUUAUCAUGUUUUUGUACAGUCUGAUGUGGCCUGUUCCAAUGCCAUAUUCAUUUUCAUCUAUAUUCUGUAUAUCUAUUGUUUUAUCUCUCCCACUCUCUUGGUUUAAGUAAUAAAUGUUGAAAAGGUUAAACAUGUAUUUUUACUUUGCCUUCAGGUUCAGAAGUUGUCGGAGUCCAGUUGGUCAAAGGUGUUUUUCACGCUGAAUAUUAAUGAUGAUUCUGACAUGAGUCAGGAUCCGCCGUUCCACCGUUCUGUAGCGGUUUAGUAGUUUGUUUAUUUGGCCACGUUCAGGCUUGUUCUAAUGCAUGUGUUCAACUGUUUUCAUAUCACUGGAGGCAUUUAGGGUAAGUACAGAGUUUUUUUUCUUGCAUGUUUUUGUGGCUUUGCUUUAAGGGUUUGGUUUGUAAAUGAUUUAGAAGUUUGCUGUAG